rnacentral:tRNA from 1 species
GCCGGAAUGCCCGAGUGGCCCAAGGGCUCCGCCUGCAAAGCGGCUGUGCGCCGGUUCGAAUCCGGCUUCCGGUU